rnacentral:rRNA from 1 species
CCCGCCGGCGACCGGCGCACGGGUGAGUAACACGUAUGAAACCUGCCCGUAGCAGGGGGAUAAGCGGAAGAAAUUCCGUCUAAUACCGCGUAACAACCCAUGGAGGCAUCUCUGUGGGUUUAAAGGAAGCGAUUCCGGCUACGGAUGGUCAUGCGUCGCAUUAGCUUGUUGGCGGGGUAACGGCCCACCGAGGCGACGAUGCGUAGGGGUUCUGAGAGGAAGGUCCCCCACACUGGUACUGAGACACGGACCAGACUCCUACGGGAGGCAGCAG